rnacentral:rRNA from 1 species
ACCGGUUGAUCCUGCCGGAGGCCACUGCUAUGGGAGUCCGACUAAGCCAUGCGAGUCCAGGGGGGCUUUGCCCACCGGCGGACGGCUCAGUAACACGUGGACAACCUACCCUCGGGAGGGGGAUAACCCCGGGAAACUGGGGCUAAACCCCCAUAGGCCAUGGGUGCUGGAAAGCCCUGUGGCCGAAAUUCCGCAAGGAGCCCGAGGAUGGGUCUGCGGCCUAUCAGGUUGUAGUGGGGGUAACGGCCCCACUAGCCUACGACGGGUACGGGCCCUGAGAGGGGGAGCCCGGAGAUGGACUCUGAGACACGAGUCCAGGCCCUACGGGGCGCAGCAGGCGCGAAACCUUCGCAAUGCGGGAAACCGCGACGAGGGGACUCCCAGUGCCUACGCUCAGCGUAGGCUGUUCCCGAGCCUAGAAAGCUCGGGGAGUAAGGGCUGGGUAAGACGGGUGCCAGCCGCCGCGGUAAUACCCGCAGCCCGAGUGGUGGCCACUAUUAUUGGGCCUAAAGCGUCCGUAGCCGGCCCGGUAAAUGCCUGGGUAAAUCGUGAGGCCUAACCUCACGAAUUCCGGGUAGACUGCCGGGCUAGGGACCGGAGGAGGGAGAGGGUACUCCAGGGGUAGGGGUGAAAUCCUGUAAUCCCUGGAGGACCACCGGUGGCGAAGGCGCUCUCCUAGGACGGGUCCGACGGUGAGGGACGAAAGCCAGGGGAGCGAACCGGAUUAGAUACCCGGGUAGUCCUGGCCGUAAACGAUGUGGGCUUGGUAUUGGGAUGGCCAUGAGCUGUCCCAGUGCCGUAGGGAAGCCGUUAAGCCCACCGCCUGGGGAGUACGGUCGCAAGGCUGAAACUUAAAGGAAUUGGCGGGGGAGCACUGCAACGGGAGGAGCGUGCGGUUUAAUUGGAUUCAACGCCGGGAAGCUCACCGGGGGAGACCCCCAGAUGUGGGCCAGGCUGAAGACCUUGCCCGACUAAUAGGGGGAGAGGUGGUGCAUGGCCGCCGUCAGCUCGUACCGUAGGGCGUUCUGUUAAGUCAGGUAACGAGCGAGACCCCCGCCCCUAGUUGCGAUCUGUCCCUCCGGGGGCAGAGCACACUAGGGGGACCGCUGGCGCUAAGCCAGAGGAAGGAGGGGGCAACGGUAGGUCAGUAUGCCCUGAAUCCCCCGGGCUACACGCGCGCUACAAAGGCUGGGACAAUGGGUUGCGACCCCGAAAGGGGGAGCUAAUCCCUAAACCCAGUCGUAGUUCGGACCGAGGGCUGCAACNCGCCCUCGUGAAGGUGGAUUCCGUAGUAAUCGCGCCUCAAAAUGGCGCGGUGAAUAUGCCCCUGCUCCUUGCACACACCGCCCGUCAAGCCAAGCGAGUUGGGUCUGGGUGAGGGUCUGCCGGCUUGGCAGACUCGAACCCAGGCUCAGCGAGCGGGGCUAAGUCGUAACAAGGUAUCCGUAGGGGAACCUGCGGAUG